rnacentral:rRNA from 1 species
UACGAGGGGGGCGAGCGUUGUUCGGAAUUAUUGGGCGUAAAGGGUGCGUAGGCGGUUUGGUAAGUCUCGUGUGAAAUCUACAGGCUCAACUUGUAGUCUGCACGAGAAACUGCCGGGCUUGAGUGUGGGAGAGGUGAGUGGAACUGCGAGUGUAGAGGUGAAAUUCGUAGAUAUUCGCAAGAACACCAGUGGCGAAGGCGGCUCACUGGCCCGGUACUGACGCUGAGGUGCGAAAGCGUGGGGAGCAAACAGG